UGUGUCCCCAGGCGCGCCGCGUGUAAUACGUGGGGGGCAAGCUUUGUCGGAGAUUUUUUUGCGUAUAAAGCUCGUGCACGCGGUUUAUGUAUGUGUGGUGUAUAUCCGUUGGGUCUCAAACCUGAUGUCGCAUGGGAAACUGGAUGGCUUGAGUACAGUAAGAGGAGAAGUGGAAUCCCACGUGUAGCGUUGAAAUGGCUAGAUAUGUGGAGGAACACCAGUGGCGAAGCAGACUCUCUGGGCUGUAACUGACGCUGAGGCGCGAAAGCCUGGGGAGCAAACAGGGAUUAGAUACCUUGGUAGUCCUCGCGUUAAACGAUGACUGCUAGGUUUUAGGGCUUUCCAUACCUUUCGUGCCGAAGUUAACACAGUAAGCACUCCGCCUGGGGAGUACGGUCGCAAGACUAUAACUCAAAGGAAUUGACGGGGACCCGCACAAGCAGUGGAGUAUGUGGUUUAAUUCGAAGCAACGCGAAGAACCUUACCAGGUCUUGACAUCCCUUUGAUUCCUGUAGAGAUAGAGGCGGCCUUCGGGACAGAGGAGACAGGUGGUGCAUGGUUGUCGUCAGCUCGUGUCGUGAGAUGUUGGGUUAAGUCCCGCAACGAGCGCAACCCUUGACUUUAGUUGCCAGCAGGUAGUGCUGGGCACUCUAGAGUGACUGCCGGUGACAAACCGGAGGAAGGUGGGGAUGACGUCAAAUCAUCAUGCCCCUUAUGACCUGGGCUACACACGUACUACAAUGGCCGGUACAACGGGAAGCGAAGCCGCGAGGUGGAGCCAAUCCCAGCAAAGCCGGUCUCAGUUCGGAUUGCAGGCUGCAACUCGCCUGCAUGAAGUCGAGAAUUGUUAGUAAUCGCGGACCACGCAUGCCGCCCUGAACC
rnacentral:rRNA from 1 species